rnacentral:rRNA from 1 species
AGAACGAACGCUGGCGGCAGGCCUAACACAUGCAAGUCGAACGGCUGUAGCAAUACAGCAGUGGCAGACGGGUGAGUAACGCGUGGGAAUCUACCUAGUGGUACGGAACAACCAAGGGAAACUUUGGCUAAUACCGUAUACGCCCUUCGGGGGAAAGAUUAUCGCCAUUAGAUGAGCCCGCGUCGGAUUAGCUAGUUGGUAGGGUAACGGCCUACCAAGGCGACGAUCCGUAGCUGGUCUGAGAGGAUGAUCAGCCACAUUGGGACUGAGACACGGCCCAAACUCCUACGGGAGGCAGCAGUGGGGAAUAUUGGACAAUGGGCGCAAGCCUGAUCCAGCCAUGCCGCGUGAGUGAUGAAGGCCCUAGGGUUGUAAAGCUCUUUCAGCGGGGAAGAUAAUGACGGUACCGCAGAAGAAGCCCCGGCUAACUUCGCGCCAGCAGCCGC